rnacentral:tRNA from 1 species
GCGGGGGUUCCCUAGCCAGGUUAAAGGGGAAGGACUCAAGAUCCUUUGGCGUAGGUCUUCGAGGGUUCAAAUCCCUCCCCCCGCACCA